GGGGGCGACAGGCUUCGACGGGUUUGGUGAGGGUACUGUUGCGUGCCCAGGUUCUCAGUUACCUGGUUAAUCAACUGGGACUAUACACAAGCCAAUUCUGAACUGGCUCUGGCUGCGUAAGCUUCGGCUUCACGCACCUGCGUGAGUGGCAGCCCGCCUGAGGCGGCGCUCACGUAUCGCAAAGUCGGGCUGGCGGCACGUGGGGUCUCAACGCGUGCCGUAAGAGAUUUCAGAGGCUUGUUGCUACCAGGGCUGACAAGGCGCCGAGGUAGCGAGACUACCAAAGCCUAGUCUACGCACGUAGGAGCGGUAUCGGAGUCAUGCUCGGACCGGGGUUCAAUUCCCCGCGCCUCCAUUU
rnacentral:tmRNA from 1 species